AGGAGGGUUUGGGAUCCAUGGCUCAGAACUAACGCUGGUGGCGUGUCUUAGUCAUGCUAGUCGCACGAGAACGUACCCUUCGGGGUGCUAGUACAGUGGCGGACGGGUGAGUAACACGUGGGCAACCUGCCUUCGAGCGGGGGAUAACCCUUCUAACGAGGGGCUAAUACCGCAUAACACUUUCGUGUCGCAUGUUACGAUUGUCAAAGGUGGCCUCUACUUGUAAGCUGCCGCUUGAAGAUGGGCCCGCGCUACAUUAGCUUGUUGGUGAGGUAACGGCUCACCAAGGCUACGAUGGAUAGCCGGCCUGAGAGGGUGAUCGGCCACACUGGAACUGAGAUAAGGUCCAGUCCCCUACGGGGGCCAGCAGUCUAGAAAUUUGCGCAAUGGACGAAAGUCUGACGCAGCGACGCCACGUGGAGGAUGAAGCCUUUCGGGGUGUAAACUCCUGUCAGAAGGGAAGAACGCAGCGGGUUCAACAGACCCGCUGUUUGACGGUACCUUCAGAGGAAGCUCCGGCUAACUUCGUGCCAGCAGCCGCGGUAAUACGAAGGGAGCGAGCGUUGUUCGGAUUUACUGGGCGUAAAGGGCGCGCAGGCGGGGCCGUAAGUCGAACGUGAAAACUGUUGGCUCAACCAGCAGAUUGCCUUCGAAACUACGGUUCUUGAGUCCAGGAGAGGAGAGCGGAAUCGACAGUGUAAGCGGUGAAAUGUGUAGAUAUUGUC
rnacentral:rRNA from 1 species